UUUUAAAUAAGCAAGCAAUGAUAACAAUACGCAUGACAUUGGAAUGCAACCUGUUAAUCGUGGAACACAACCUGGACAUGAAGGUCCAGAUGUGCAUUCCAAAAGUGGAGAGCAUGUAGUCGGUGGUGACCAAGUGGAGCAUGAUCCGGGUAGACAACAUCAGGAACGUGAUGUUCCCCAAUUAGAGGAUAUAGAGGGUGUUCAACAUGUUGAGGUUGAGGCUAGACAAAAUGAUGUGGAAGAUGAUGUCGCCCCAUCAGGUAAAGAGCGC